CCGUCGUGCACCGCGCGAAAAAAGCGAAACUAAAGGAAAAGCGGAGAAAAGUCGCUGGUUGCGAGGAAAACAACCUCGCGAGCGAGCCCCGAUGCGUGGGCCAGCCAGAGCCAGAGGGGAGGGAAAGGAAAGGAAAGGGAAACGUAAGGCGAGUGAGUCCCCGUUCCUCGCAAAUGAAAGUUGACUUAGCUUGACGUGAGCGGCUAUAAAACCCGCAACUCUGACAAUUGCUUGGCAGUCGACGCGAGACGCUUCUUCACGAUGUCUUACACGGUGGUUUUCUUCGAUCUUGAAACAACUGGACUGGGUAUGAGACAUUAUGGCAUCAUAAAAAAAAAAAAAUCUAGUUGAUGACAUUGCUAUCAGCGUCACACCUACGUUAAAGUUUAUACGUAUUUAUUUUUUAUGCAUUUUUAUUAUAUUUUGUGGCUGUUUAAAAACACAUUUCUCUGUAAGUACCACCACAGAAGGUUGUCGGGUAAACUCUCCAAGUAUUAACAUUAAAAUGCGCUUACGUCAUAGUAGUUCGGGAAGUGUUUAUCAAACAAGAGAGCAGUUUUACCCCUAAAAAAGUGUAUCAAAUAUCGUUGUAACUCACUAUAACAUUAUACCCGGUUUAUAUAUAAUAUCACGCUUGAAUAAA